rnacentral:rRNA from 1 species
GACGAACGCUGGCGGCGUGCUUAACACAUGCAAGUCGAACGGUGAAGCGCCUUCCUUUUUGGUGGGUGUGGAUGAGUGGCGAACGGGUGAGUAACACGUGAGUAACCUGCCCCCUUCUUCUGGAUAACCGCAUGAAAGUGUGGCUAAUACGGGAUAUUCUGGGUCUGUCGCAUGAUGGGUCUGGGAAAGAUAUUGUUUCGGUGGGGGAUGGGCUCGCGGCCUAUCAGCUUGUUGGUGGGGUGAUGGCCUACCAAGGCGGUGACGGGUAGCCGGCCUGAGAGGGCGGACGGUCACACUGGGACUGAGACACGGCCCAGACUCGUACGGGAGGCAGCAGUGGGGAGUAUUGCACAAUGGGCGAAAGCCUGAUGCAGCGACGCCGCGUGAGGGAUGGAGGCCUUCGGGUUGUGAACCUCUUUCGCCAGUGAAGCAGGCCUGCCUCGUUUGUGGGUGGGUUGACGGUAGCUGGAUAAGAAGCGCCGGCUAACUACGUG